rnacentral:rRNA from 1 species
UACGGAGGGUGCAAGCGUUAUCCGGAUUCACUGGGUUUAAAGGGUGCGUAGGCGGGUUGGUAAGUCCGUGGUGAAAUCUCCAAGCUUAACUUGGAAACUGCCGUGGAUACUAUCAAUCUUGAAUGUCGUGGAGGUAAGCGGAAUAUGUCAUGUAGCGGUGAAAUGCUUAGAGAUGACAUAGAACACCAAUUGCGUAGGCAGCUUACUACACGAAUAUUGACGCUGAGGCACGAAAGCGUGGGGAGCAAACAGG